rnacentral:rRNA from 1 species
UUAUGCGAUACUUGGUGUGAAUUGCAGAAGCUUGUGAACCAUCGAGUCUUUGAAUGCAAGUUGCGCCCGAAGCCUUCGGGCCGAGGGCAAGCCUGCCUGGGCAUCAUGC